rnacentral:tmRNA from 1 species
ACCUAUUGGACCCGGGGGCGGUACCCGGCGCCUCCACCAAAGUAUGGUCUUUAUUCAUCAUAUUUUGGUGGGGGCGAAACAGGAUCGACAAAGGCGUAAAGAUCGCUCUUUUACUCGGCAUUGUACCACCGUUAUCGGGCUAAAUAAGUAGUUGCAAAUGACAACAACUAUGCGGAAGCACGUCUCGCCGCUUAAGGCGAUAUGUAUGCUUCAAAAUUAAGCCUUAAACCACGCAGGUUUAAGCGGGGUUCGAAGG